UACAGAGGUCCCGAGCGUUGUUCGGAAUUACUGGGCGUAAAGCGUGCGUAGACGGUUAUGUAAGUCAGGUGUGAAAUCUCCAGGCUCAACCUGGAGGGGUCAUUCGAUACUGCCGUGACUAGAGUUCGGUAGAGGAGUGUGGAAUUCCUGGUGGAGCGGUGAAAUGCGCAGAGAUCAGGAGGAACACCCGUAGUGAAGGCGGCACUCUGGGCCGAUACUGACACUGAGGGAGCGAAAGCGUGGGGAGCGAACAGGAU
rnacentral:rRNA from 1 species